rnacentral:rRNA from 1 species
GACGAACGCUGGCGGCGUGCUUAACACAUGCAAGUCGAACGGAAAGGCCCUGCUUUUGUGGGGUGCUCGAGUGGCGAACGGGUGAGUAACACGUGAGUAACCUGCCCUUGACUUUGGGAUAACUUCAGGAAACUGGGGCUAAUACCGGAUAGGAGCUCCUGCUGCAUGGUGGGGGUUGGAAAGUUCCGGCGGUUGGGGAUGGACUCGCGGCUUAUCAGCUUGUUGGUGGGGUAGUGGCUUACCAAGGCUUUGACGGGUAGCCGGCCUGAGAGGGUGACCGGCCACAUUGGGACUGAGAUACGGCCCAGACUCCUACGGGAGGCAGCAGUGGGGAAUAUUGCACAAUGGGCGGAAGCCUGAUGCAGCAACGCCGCGUGCGGGAUGACGGCCUUCGGGUUGUAAACCGCUUUCGCCUGUGACGAAGCGUGAGUGACGGUAAUGGGUAAAGAAGCACCGGCUAACUACGUGCCAGCAGCCGCGGUGAUACGUAGGGUGCGAGCGUUGUCCGGAUUUAUUGGGCGUAAAGGGCUCGUAGGUGGUUGAUCGCGUCGGAAGUGUAAUCUUGGGGCUUAACCCUGAGCGUGCUUUCGAUACGGGUUGACUUGAGGAAGGUAGGGGAGAAUGGAAUUCCUGGUGGAGCGGUGGAAUGCGCAGAUAUCAGGAGGAACACCAGUGGCGAAGGCGGUUCUCUGGGCCUUUCCUGACGCUGAGGAGCGAAAGCGUGGGGAGCGAACAGGCUUAGAUACCCUGGUAGUCCACGCUGUAAACGGUGGGUACUAGGUGUGGGGUCCAUUCCACGGGUUCCGUGCCGUAGCUAACGCUUUAAGUACCCCGCCUGGGGAGUACGGCCGCAAGGUUAAAACUCAAAGGAAUUGACGGGGCCCCGCACAAGCGGCGGAGCAUGCGGAUUAAUUCGAUGCAACGCGUAGAACCUUACCUGGGUUUGACAUGGAUCGGGAGUGCUCAGAGAUGGGUGUGCCUCUUUUGGGGUCGGUUCACAGGUGGUGCAUGGCUGUCGUCAGCUCGUGUCGUGAGAUGUUGGGUUAAGUCCCGCAACGAGCGCAACCCUUGUUCACUGUUGCCAGCACGUUAUGGUGGGGACUCAGUGGAGACCGCCGGGGUCAACUCGGAGGAAGGUGGGGAUGACGUCAAGUCAUCAUGCCCCUUAUGUCCAGGGCUUCACGCAUGCUACAAUGGCUGGUACAGAGAGUGGCGAGCCUGUGAGGGUGAGCGAAUCUCGGAAAGCCGGUCUCAGUUCGGAUUGGGGUCUGCAACUCGACCUCAUGAAGUCGGAGUCGCUAGUAAUCGCAGAUCAGCAACGCUGCGGUGAGUACGUUCCCGGGGCU